ACCCUGCGGUUCCCUUUCCCAUUGGAUGUUGAUGCUGGUCUUGGAGGUCAUGAAGGAGGAAGAGUGUACUGAAGGUGGGCUCAGAGUUACAGAGCAUGGGGCAAGAGUCAAGCAUGC
rnacentral:snoRNA from 14 species